rnacentral:rRNA from 1 species
ACUCUCGGCAACGGAUAUCUCGGCUCUCGCAUCGAUGAAGAACGUAGCGAAAUGCGAUACUUGGUGUGAAUUGCAUAAUCCCGUGAACCAUCGAGUCUUUGAACGCAAGUUGCGCCUGAAGCCAUCAGGUUGAGGGCACGUCUGCCUGGGCGUCACGC